UGGUUGCAUGAUAAUUUAUGACGCAAUGUGUGACAACAUGGAUGACAAUUUUCCUUUGGGGGACGGACUACAUGUGUAACACCCAGGCCCAAGAUCUGGCCGAGGCCCAGGAGGUGAGCCCAAUCACCAGAAACAACAUCAUUUUGAGGUCAUAAAACUCUUUCCCUUUUGCCCUUCCAAUUUCCCUCUCCCUUGAUAGUUUCUUCUUCCCCAAGAUUUUCUCCCCCACUUUCUCACCUCCCCGAUGCUUUCUCAACAACUCAAUUCCUCAUUUCAAUUUAUAUUUUUGAAUUAAUAUAUCUUUCCACUACACUCAGAUUCUCACAACCGUUUUUCUUCCUCACUCCAUUCGUGCCUCUCCCUAACUCUCACAAAUCUCUUCCCACACCCAAAGUCAUGGCAACCACCCAGUAACACGACCACGCCCAACGUCCUCAUUUCCCUCAACAAAUCCUCCCUCCAACUCUCUCAUGCUCUGGCUCUUUCUCUCUCACCCUCUUCAAGCUGCUACAACCUUCUAUUCCUCUCUCAAGGUCUAUUCACUAUCACGGCAGAUCACCCUCUGGCCGCAACCUCCUCUCCCCCUCCAUGAUAUACUGCCAGCCAGGUUUACCUAUUCCUGCGUAUAGCAAGCCGCCGUCCAACACCUUCACGUUGCCAAACUGCAUCACACAAUGCAGCAUAGCCAUCACCCAUGUCCAUCACACCCACAGUUGACCGCUGCCCUCCACGUCCAGGAAGCAACCAGGCAAGCCAUCUCAAUGGCAACCGUGAGCCACUGCCAUGAACGAUGAAGCCCAGCCUGAGAUGCAGCCUUGUGUCAUGUCCCGUAGUGUCACUACACCAGACCACUGCUGCACAUAGUGAAGACCUCGGCCAGCCACCAAGAACCACCCAGACGCUGCCCAGCACUGCCCAACACCAACCCACAAACCUCCAAGCAAGACCAAUGCACCCCAAUGCUCCUCUGUUUUCACCACUCGAAAACAGAGCACAUAUAGUUCACCAUUGAACCACAUGAGACCACUGUGAAGCCCCUCUAGCAACCAUUACAUGUACACCCCGCAACGCCGCAUUGCAGCAUGUAGCAUCUGCCAUCAACGGUUGUUUAGCAACCCAGACGAGUGCCACCCCACGUGCACCUCAGAAAACGCCACAUGUGGCCAGCCUCUCCAUGUUGAACCCUUCUACGCAGAAAUUGUAAAUCACCACUCAACAGGCUGCCGCUGCACCAUGGAUCCGGAAACCAAUGCGUGAAGCUGAACAAACUGCACAGUUCAGCCUUGUCACCACCACCCCAAGUUGCUACUCUAGCCAGAAAUUAAGGUUCCACCGUCGGACGCAGCCCUGUAGACGCCUAUCAUGCGCCACCGUCGCAGCCACACAAUCCAUUGCACGUGAUGACUGAUAUCCCUUGGCACUGUGGUGAGAAAAUUCAGACUUUGCAUCCACUAAAGAAAAUUUAGGUAAGCGGAGUUAAAAAGUUUAGGAAAGUGGAGUUCCUAUGCUAGACUUUGCAUUAAAAAGAUAUGGACUGAGGUUGAUUUAUGAAAAAUAUGCAUGUUAUGCUUUGAAAAGAAAACUCGAAAACCUUAGUUAUGUGUUCUGCAUUACUCAUGAAAUCUGUAUAAAAGAAAAAUUAUUUUUGUUAUGAUUGGUGUAGACAUGAGCAAUAUUUUGGCAUACUGUUUCUGAACCACGCAAAAACAGUGAGUAUGAAAUCUGAAAAUUUGCCCAUGUGAUGUGAAGAUGUUCUGAAUCCGUUUUUGAAUAUGUGAAAUUAUUUGAAUCUAUUUAGUACUCUGUUUUGAGAUAAUGUGGCAUUUGAAAAACUUUUGAAAUGACUUUCUGAUGCUGUUUCUCUUCUGCUCUGUUACUGCCCUGCCACAGGUAUAAUAGUGUUAUAUGGCUCUGCCAUGGGUAUGAUAGUGGUAUACAGCCCUGCCACGGGUAUAAUAGUGGUACACGACCUGCCAUAGGUACAAUAGUGGUACACAGCCCUGCCACGGGUAAUAAUAGAGGUCUCGGUUCUGAUAAGAUAGUGUCUCGGUUAUGCCAUGCCAAAGUACUUUUGAAUAAGAAUAUUUCUGAAAGUUUCGCUUUGAUAUUUUGAUAACAUGUUUUGAUUCU